UUCGGAUGACCUGUGGGUAGGGGUGAAAGGCCAAUCAAACUCCGUGAUAGCUGGUUCUCCCCGAAAUGCAUUUAGGUGCAGCGUUGCGUGUUGCUUGCCGGAGGUAGAGCUACUGGUUGGUUGAGCGGGACUACAAUCUUAGCAAUGUCAGCCAAACUCCGAAUGCCGGUAAGUGAGAGCGCAGCAGUGAGACGGUGGGGGAUAAGCUUCAUCGUCGAGAGGGAAACAACCCAGACUACCAACUAAGGUCCCUAAGCGUGUGCUAAGUGGGAAAGGAUGUGGAGUUGCAUAGACAACCAGGAGGUUGGCUUAGAAGCAGCCACCCUUGAAAGAGUGCGUAAUAGCUCACUGGUCAAGUGAUUCCGCGCCGACAAUGUAACGGGGCUCAAGCACACCACCGAAGUUGUAGAUUUCGUAUUAUAGACAAGCCUUCGUGGUUCAGUCGUACGGAGUGGUAGGAGAGCGUCGUGUGGCCAGUGAAGCGGCGGUGUAAACCAGCCGUGGAGGCCACACGAGUGAGAAUGCAGGCAUGAGUAGCGAAAGACGGGUGAGAAACCCGUCCUCCGAAAGACCAAGGGUUCCAGGGCCAGGUUAAUCCGCCCUGGGUAAGUCGGGACCUAAGGCGAGGCCGACAGGCGUAGUCGAUGGUUAACGGGUUGAUAUUCCCGUACCCGUAUAUGUGCGUCCAUGGUGAAUCAGUGAUACUAACCAUCCACAAGUCUUCCGCUGCUGUCUUUGAUGGUGGUGGUUGGGGCGUGCGUGGAGCCUGAUCUGGUAGUAGCUAAGUGAUGGGGUGACGCAGUGGGGUAGCUGAGCCACUUAUUGGAUUGUGGUGCAAGCGUGUAGGGCGAUCGGUAGGUAAAUCCGCCGGUCAUGAUGCCUGAGGCGUGAUGCGUAGCCCCUUUUUGGGGUGAUGUUGGUGAUCCCGUGCUGUCGAGAAAAGCCUCUAGCGAGUGCAUAUAUGGCCCGUACCCUAAACCGACACAGGUAGUCAGGUAGAGAAUACUAAGGCGUUCGGGUGAACUGUGGUUAAGGAACUCGGCAAAAUGCCCCCGUAACUUCGGGAGAAGGGGGGCCGGAACCGUGAUGGGAUUUACUCCCGGAGCGGGAAAGGCCGCAGAGACCAGUGGGAAGCGACUGUUUACUAAAAACACAGGUCCGUGCCAAGUCGCAAGACGAUGUAUACGGACUGACGCCUGCCCGGUGCUGGAAGGUUAAGAGGACCUGUUAGCUGUUAAAGGCGAAGCGGAGAAUUUAAGCCCCAGUAAACGGCGGUGGUAACUAUAACCAUCCUAAGGUAGCGAAAUUCCUUGUCGGGUAAGUUCCGACCUGCACGAAUGGCGUAACGACUUCCCAGCUGUCUCAACCGCGAACUCGGCGAAAUUGCACUACGAGUAAAGAUGCUCGUUACGCGCGGCAGGACGAAAAGACCCCGGGACCUUCACUAUAGCUUGGUAUUGGUGUUCGAUUCGGUUUGUGUAGGAUAGGUGGGAGACUGUGAAGCAUUGGCGCCAGCUGGUGUGGAGUCAUUGUUGAAAUACCACUCUGGUCACUUUGGAUAUCUAACUAGGAACCGUGAUCCGGUUCUGGGACAGUGCCUGGUGGGUAGUUUAACUGGGGCGGUUGCCUCCUAAAGAGUAACGGAGGCGCCCAAAGGUUCCCUCAGAAUGGUUGGAAAUCAUUCGUAGAGUGCAAAGGCAGAAGGGAGCUUGACUGCGAGACUUACAAGUCGAGCAGGGACGAAAGUCGGGACUAGUGAUCCGGCACCUACUUGUGGAAGUGGUGUCGCUCAACGGAUAAAAGGUAC
rnacentral:rRNA from 1 species